UACGGAGGAUCCGAGCGUUAUCCGGAUUUAUUGGGUUUAAAGGGUGCGUAGGCGGAAAUGUAAGUCAGUGGUGAAAUCCUGCAGCUUAACUGUAGAAUAGCCGUUGAAACUGUGUUUCUUGAGUACAUUUGAGGUAGGCGGAAUGUGGUGUGUAGCGGUGAAAUGCAUAGAUAUACCACAGAACACCGAUUGCGAAGGCAGCUUACUAAACUGUCACUGACGCUGAUGCGCGAAAGCGUGGGUAUCAAACAGGAUUAGA
rnacentral:rRNA from 1 species